rnacentral:rRNA from 1 species
CCUACGGGAGGCAGCAGUGAGGAAUAUUGGUCAAUGGACGCAAGUCUGAACCAGCCAUGCCGCGUGCAGGAAGACGGCUCUAUGAGUUGUAAACUGCUUUUGUACGAGGGUAAACGCAGAUACGCGUAUCUGUCUGAAAGUAUCGUACGAAUAAGGAUCGGCUAACUCCGUGCCAGCAGACGCGGGAAUACGGAGGAUUCAAGCGUUAUCCGGAUUUAUUGGGUUUAAAGGGUGCGUAGGCGGUCGGAUAAGUUAGAGGUGAAAUCCCGAGGCUCAACUUCGGAAUUGCCUCGGAUACUGUUCGGCUAGAGAGUAGUUGCGGUAGGCGGAAUGUAUGGUGUAGCGGUGAAAUGCUUAGAGAGCAUACAGAACACCGAUUGCGAAGGCAGCUUACCAAGCUACUUCUGACGUUGAGGCACGAAAGCGUGGGGAGCAAACAGGAUUAGAUACCCGGGUAGUC